rnacentral:tRNA from 1 species
GUCUGUCUGGCUCAGUUAAUAGAGCGCAAAGCUCUUAAUCUUGUGGUCGUGGGUUCAAACCCACGGUGGGCA